CAGUCGCCGCGGGAAUACGAAGGGUGCAAGCGUUAAUCGGAAUUACUGGGCGUAAGGCGUGCGUAGGCGGUUUGUUAAGUCUGUUGUGAAAUCCCCGGGCUCAACCUGGGAAUGGCAAUGGAUACUGGCAAGCUAGAGUGUGUCAGAGGAUGGUGGAAUUCCCGGUGUAGCGGUGAAAUGCGUAGAGAUCGGGAGGAACAUCAGUGGCGAAGGCGGCCAUCUGGGACAACACUGACGCUGAGGCACGAAAGCGUGGGGAGCAAACAGGAUUAGAUACCCCAGUAGUCCCUGUCUCUUAUAA
rnacentral:rRNA from 1 species